rnacentral:rRNA from 1 species
UACAGAGGUCUCAAGCGUUGUUCGGAUUCAUUGGGCGUAAAGGGUGCGUAGGUGGCGUCGUAAGUCAGGUGUGAAAUCUCGGGGCUUAACUCCGAAACUGCAUUCGAUACUGCGGUGCUUGAGGACUGGAGAGGAGACUGGAAUUCAUGGUGUAGCAGUGAAAUGCGUAGAGAUCAUGAGGAAGACCAGUGGCGAAGGCGGGUCUCUGGACAGUUCCUGACACUGAGGCACGAAGGCCAGGGGAGCAAACGGG